CUCUACUCCACAUGUGCAGUGUAAAGCAGCUAUCUUGUGUCGAGGAGGAAGGAGACCUCUCUACCAAGCACAGGAAAACAGACGUGAAGCUAUUGGAGGUCAAGGGCAAGGGCUACUGAGAUGGAAAAACCUGCAGAUCUGGGAAAGAUCUUUCUCAGCAUCAGGAAAUACUGUUUUGUGCUCUUCCUUAAACUUCAACUACAAAGGAGGUACUCUUGUCACUCAGGCCUCAUUAGCCAAUUAGAACCUGUAGUCGGAGCAUCAGUUAUAAGAGAGGAGGGCUCUUCCCGGCGCCAGGCUCCAGGCCCCAGGCUCCGUCCUGAAGCUGGGGAAGUAAGUGCCAGUGGUUCUUUGCACGUUCCAGGAGCUGUGAAGGGUGCGUGCGAGCUUGGAAGCCACAGUAUGAUUCCAUCCUUUAACAUCAAGACAGGAGCAUGGCAGCAUCCAGGCAGACAUGGUGCAGGAGGAGCUGAGAGUUCUACAUCUUCAUAUGAAGGCUGCUAAUUGAAGGCUGAAUUCCAUGCAGCCUGUACCAACAGUGACACACCUACUCCAACAAGGCUAAACUAACUCCAAGAGUGCCAUACCUUCUAAGAAUGCUACAUCCUGGACUGAAUAUAUAGAUAAGAUCUAUGAAGCUAAGAAAUGCAUGCUGACAGGAAUCAGAUAAAGAUGUCUCCUGAGAGACACAGUUAGAGCAUGUGAAAUAGAGAGGUGAAUGCUAGCAGCAAACCACUAAACUGAGAACGGGACUCCUGUUGGAGGAAUUAGAGAAAGGAUUGAAAGAGCUGAAGGGGCUUACAACCCCGUAAGAGCAGCAUUCCAACCAACCAGAGCUUGCAGGGACGAAACCACGACCCAAAUACUACACAUGGAUGGACCCAUGGCUCCAACUCAUAGGGAGCAGUGGAUGGCCUUGUUGGGCAGCAAUGGAAGGAGAAGCCCUUUGUCAAUAUAAGUAAAAUUUUUAAGAGAUAAGUGACAUCAUGAACAGCAGAGGACAAGGGUAGAAAUGACAAUUUAUGGAGUCCGGUCUUCGCAUGCUGUGAAAUUGUAAAGGAAAGGCAGCAGAGUAUUGUGAGAAAAACAGUCCAAGGAGAGUAAUGGACACAGAUGUGUAACCCUGUAGCUAUCUGCCCAGGGUUUCAACAGAGGUCAAUGUGUUGCAUUGUUGAGAUGGCAGCUCUGUCCCCCUUUGCACAAAAUCGGAUACCACUUAGGCUCAUGUCACUCCUUCCUCAGGACUUAGCCCUUCCAUUAGGUUAGUUGUCAGUGUCCACAGACUGCACUAAGCCAACCUUAUCAAUCAGGCCACUGUUCAGUAUUCAUUUUAAUCUCUCAGAGACUCCUCAGUCCACUCCUUUGUAGCUUCCCAUCACACAUGUGCCUUCUUGCCUUUAGCUGUUUGUAUGUAGUGCUUCCAGGUUUCUGGUUUGUGUUGUCUUAACUGUUCCCCUCCAGCAUAGAGCCCAGAGUCUGACAAACACUGACCUCUAACUCCCUCCUUCAGUUAAAUCUGUUCCCAAUAUAUACUACAUGCACUUAAUAUGUGAAGGGAAUGUACAUUGCCUGUCCCUCUGAUUUGUGAGGGUAUAUCAUAAAGUUGCUAAAUAGUACACCUUGAUGUACUGUAUUGCUUGUCCUAGGGACUUAGCAUAUGAGUUUUGAAUUAAACUGCUUGCCUAUUAAUUGUAAGAGUUUCCCAUUAAAAUAUUCGAAGUGAAAGUCAUGCAUUUUAAAAUUUUUAUUACAUCAGUACCAUUUUUAGUGCAUUUUUAAGUGAAAUCCAUCUUUAACCCUACUCUGAAAUACUGCUCAUAUUACCAAGUCAUGUGUUAUUAGUUGGCAAAGAGAAAAGAUAUUUGAAUGUGGCUUCUCUGAACUUUCUUUCUUUCUUUCUUUCUUUCUUUCUUUCUUUCUUUCUUUCUUUCUUUCUUUCUUUCUUCCUUCCUUCCUUCCUUCCUUCCUUCUUUCUUUCUUUCUUUCUUUCUUUCUUUCUUUCUUUCUUUCUUUCUUUCUUUCUUUCUUUCUUUCUUUCUUCCUUUUCCUUUGUAAAACUUUUAUCCUGCUCCCUCCAGAAGUGGCCAUUAAUGGGGGCUUUAUGAGCCACUCCAAAUACCUGAUAGAAAGUCUAUG
ensembl:lncRNA